rnacentral:rRNA from 1 species
CCUACGGGAGGCUGCAGUGAGGAAUAUUGGUCAAUGGGCGCGAGCCUGAACCAGCCAAGUCGCGUGAGGGAUGACUGCCCUACGGGUUGUAAACUUCUUUUAUAAAGGAAUAAAGUGAGGCACGUGUGCCUUUUUGUAUGUACUUUAUGAAUAAGGAUCGGCUAACUCCGUGCCAGCAGCCGCGGUAAUAAGGGGGAUCCGAGCGUUUUCCGGGUUUUUUGGGUUUUAAGGGGGGCGAGGUGGGUUUUUAAGUCAGUUGUGAAAGUUUGCGGGUCAAACGUAAAAUUGCAAUUGAUACUGGCAGUCUUGAGUACAGGUGAGGUAGGCGGAAUGCGUGGUGUAGCGGUGAAAUGCUUAGAUAUCACGAAGAACUCCGAUUGCGAAGGCAGCUUACGAGUCUGCCACUGACAUUGAGGCACGAAAGUGUGGGUAUCAAACAGGAUUAGAUACCCGAGUAGUC